CGGGUGCAGCAGCAUCUAUGGAGCGAAGGAAAUAGGCAACGUUUCGGGCCGAAACCCUUCUUCAGACCAUUCAGAUAUCUAGAUACUUGCCUGGUCCUUCGACCUCAGCCUAACGCUGUUGAAAAUUCUGGUUUCUACUGCAGACUGAAGCAGAGCUUCAUGCCGAUGGUGAGAAAUGAAUGUGUCUAACAUGUGUGGAUGAUAUCAUACCUCAAGAGCAAUGAGCUCAUGAGAGAUACCUUACAUUACACAGAGGUAAUUUCCACGUUAUGACUCUGCUGGAUUCUGUUUAUGCAUGAUUGCUUAAUAUGCCAAAACAAUUCACAUGAAGGCUGUAUUAAUAAAUGGUUUAACUUG